UUGAUCAUGGCUCAGGACGAACGCUGGCGGCGUGCCUAAUACAUGCAAGUCGAGCGGACAGAUGGGAGCUUGCUCCCUGAUGUUAGCGGCGGACGGGUGAGUAACACGUGGGUAACCUGCCUGUAAGACUGGGAUAACUCCGGGAAACCGGGGCUAAUACCGGAUGGUUGUCUGAACCGCAUGGUUCAGACAUAAAAGGUGGCUUCGGCUACCACUUACAGAUGGACCCGCGGCGCAUUAGCUAGUUGGUGAGGUAACGGCUCACCAAGGCGACGAUGCGUAGCCGACCUGAGAGGGUGAUCGGCCACACUGGGACUGAGACACGGCCCAGACUCCUACGGGAGGCAGCAGUAGGGAAUCUUCCGCAAUGGACGAAAGUCUGACGGAGCAACGCCGCGUGAGUGAUGAAGGUUUUCGGAUCGUAAAGCUCUGNNNUAGGGAAGAACAAGUGCCGUCAAAUAGGGCGGCACCUUGACGGUACCUAACCAGAAAGCCACGGCUAACUACGUGCCAGCAGCCGC
rnacentral:rRNA from 2 species